rnacentral:rRNA from 1 species
UAAGAAUCUUCCGCAAUGGGCGAAAGCCUGACGGAGCGACGCCGCGUGAACGAAGAAGGCCGUGAGGUUGUAAAGUUCUUUUCGGGAGGGGGAACAACCGUGGCAGGGAAUGGCCGCGGGAUGACGUGAAUCCCGGAAUAAGCCCCGGCUAACUACGUGCCAGCAGCCGCGGUAACACGUAGGGGGCGAGCGUUGUUCGGAAUCAUUGGGCGUAAAGGGCGAGCAGGCGGUCCUGCAAGUCCGGCGUGAAAGACCCCGGCCCAACCGGGGGGACGCGCUGGAAACUGCGGGGCUUGAGUACAGGAGGGGAUGCCGGAAUUCCAGGUGUAGGGGUGAAAUCUGUAGAUAUCUGGAAGAACACCAAUGGCGAAGGCAGGCAUCUGGCCAUGUACUGACGCUGAGACGCGAAGGUGCGGGGAGCAAAC